GCUGCUCCUCUCUGCUUUAUGGUUGCAACAUAUUGAGGCGGAUUAAAACAAACAAGCUACAAUCAGUAUUCAGUUCUGCGUAUGAAUACUGUAGAAAUAAGGCAUUUUUAUACAGUUGUACUCAUCCACUAAGGAUAUAUUUACGUUUUUCUCGGCUGAAUAUCUGUCAAAAGUUCAACGUCAACCCGCAAGCCAAGUAUAUCAAGUCACGCCUCAGUCAAGUUCUGAAGGCGUUGCCCCUGGCAACCGAUAGCGUGUCCUUCCAUCAUGGCCGACCGGCUCAGACCCCUCCCAAAUCGGCACGUGACUCCUCACUCUCAAUAUGGAAUACAAGCUGUACAUGAUACUUAAUGUGUUCUGAUUUAUGAUGCUUUGGGAUGGGAAGUGACAAUGCCAAAGGAAAUUCACGGUCUCAGAGGUUCCCGUCUGGUCAUACCAUGUUCUUUCAGCUACACAUCAGACCCGCCCAAAGACCCAAGUAGAGUUGUGUGGUAUCAGUGGGUCUCUAAAGAGAGAAUCAGGUGAAUGCAGUCUGCUGAUUACCACACUGGAACAGUCCCACCAUGGAGAGAAAAUAUAUGCAUGGAUUGACCCUAAAAAUGUUGGAUGGCGCACCUACGCAUUUUAUGAUGUCACGUCUACAAUUUUUGUCGAUAAAAAGUCACAGGAGCCCAGCAUCAGUAUUUAUGGAGGUGAAAAGAUGGGUGACGCCAUCACGGUAGAAUGUUCAACUUUCCACACGUGUCCAUACAGAAAACCAGCAAUCACUCUGAGCGGUGUAGAAGGAACUGAUCAAACAAAGGAUGAACAUAUUAAAAACGGCCUGUGGAAAAGAACUCUGACACGCACAGGUGUCUUAAAGGCAGAAAGCGUGACUAUUCAUUGUUCAGUAACACAUUAUGGUGGCAUAACAGUGACAACUGAAGAAGUCAAAAUGUCAAAAUGUGGACUCCCAUACUGAUGUAAGGCCCAUUUUAAGUGAAAUGGCUGAGAAAUAGCAAAGGCCCCUGGAUCGCUCAACACGUUCUAAACUGCCAUCAGGCAGUGAAGCCACCAGAAGUCACAGCUAAAACAAUGACCUCAAAUCACCAGAUGUGAAGCAAAUCAGUCAAAGGGGAUUAGUUUUUAUGUUAUGUGAAUGUGAAUUAAUGUUUACUUCAGAUGUUAUGUGCAGUGUUCACGGUCUUUUGGGGCAAGAUAAGCGAUAUAUUUAAACCGUUUAGGUGGAUGUCUGCAGCGCAAUGACGACACAUGUAACAA
rnacentral:lncRNA from 1 species